GACGAACGCUGGCGGCGUGCUUAACACAUGCGAGUCGAACGAAGAGCGAUGGAAGCUUGCUUCUAUCAAUCUUAGUGGCGAACGGGUGAGUAACGCGUAAUCAACCUGCCCUUCAGAGGGGGACAACAGUUGGAAACGACUGCUAAUACCGCAUACGAUCUGACCUCGGCAUCGAGGAUAGAUGAAAGGUGGCCUCUACAUGUAAGCUAUCACUGAAGGAGGGGAUUGCGUCUGAUUAGCUAGUUGGAGGGGUAACGGCCCACCAAGGCGAUGAUCAGUAGCCGGUCUGAGAGGAUGAACGGCCACAUUGGGACUGAGACACGGCCCAGACUCCUACGGGAGGCAGCAGUGGGGAAUCUUCCGCAAUGGACGAAAGUCUGACGGAGCAACGCCGCGUGAGUGAUGACGGCCUUCGGGUUGUAAAGCUCUGUUAAUCGGGACGAAAGGCCUUUUUGCGAAUAGUGAGAAGGAUUGACGGUACCGGAAGAGAAAGCCACGGCUAACUACGUG
rnacentral:rRNA from 1 species